GACGAACCGUGCGAACGUUAUUCGGAAUCACUGGGCUUAAAGCGCGUGUAGGCGGGAGGGCACGUCCGUCGCUGAAAUCCCCCGGCUCAACCGGGGAACGGGCGCGGAUACGACCUUCCUGGAGGGGCGUAGGGGGACCUGGAACUUCCGGUGGAGCGGUGAAAUGCGUUGAGAUCGGAAGGAACGCCCGUGGCGAAAGCGAGGUCCUGGACGCCUACUGACGCUGAGGCGCGAAAGCUAGGGGAGCAAACAGG
rnacentral:rRNA from 1 species